rnacentral:rRNA from 1 species
GAUGAACGCUGGCGGCGUGCCUAAUACAUGCAAGUCGAGCGAACAGACGAGGAGCUUGCUCCUCUGACGUUAGCGGCGGACGGGUGAGUAACACGUGGAUAACCUACCUAUAAGACUGGGAUAACUUCGGGAAACCGGCGCUAAUACCGGAUAAUAUCUUGAACCGCAUGGUUCAAUAGUGAAAGACGGUUUUGCUGUCACUUAUAGAUGGAUCCGCGCCGCAUUAGCUAGUUGGUACGGUAACGGCUUACCAAGGCAAGGAUGCGUAGGCGACCUGAGAGGGGGGUCGGCCACACUGGAACUGAGACACGGUCCAGACUCCUACGGGAGGCAGCAGUAUGGAAUCUUCCGCAAUGGGCGAGAGCCUGACGGAGCAACGCCGCGUGAGUGAUGAAGGUCUUCGGAUCGUAAAACUCUGUUAUUAGGGAAGAACAAAUGUGUAAGUAACUAUGCACGUCUUGACGGUACCUAAUCAGAAAGCCACGGCUAACUACGUG